rnacentral:rRNA from 1 species
AUUGAACGCUGGCGGCAUGCUUUACACAUGCAAGUCGAACGGCAGCGGGGGCUUCGGCCCGCCGGCGAGUGGCGAACGGGUGAGUAAUGCAUCGGAACGUGCCCAGUCGUGGGGGAUAACACAUCGAAAGAUGUGCUAAUACCGCAUACGUCCUGAGGGAGAAAGCGGGGGAUCUUCGGACCUCGCGCGAUUGGAGCGGCCGAUGUCGGAUUAGCUAGUUGGUGGGGUAAAAGCCCACCAAGGCGACGAUCCGUAGCGGGUCUGAGAGGAUGAUCCGCCACACUGGGACUGAGACACGGCCCAGACUCCUACGGGAGGCAGCAGUAGGGAAUUUUUCGGCAAUGGGGGAAACCCUGACCGAGCAAUGCCGCGUGAACGAUGAAGGUCUUCGGAUUGUAAAGUUCUGUGAUUGGGGAAGAAUGGUAUUCUUAGGGAAUGAGGAGUACAUGACGGUACCCGAUUAGAAAGCCCCGGCUAACUAUGUGCCAGCAGCCGCGGUAAAUACG